UACGUAGGUGGCAAGCGUUGUCCGGAUUUACUGGGCGUAAAGAGCGCGCAGGCGGUCGUGCAAGUCGCGUGUGAAAGCCCCCGGCUCAACUGGGGAGGGUCACGCGAUACUGCUCGACUUGAAGGCAGGAGAGGGAAGUGGAAUUCCCGGUGUAGUGGUGAAAUGCGUAGAUAUUGGGAGGAACACCAGUGGCGAAGGCGACUUCCUGGCCUGUUCUUGACGCUGAGGCGCGAAAGCUAGGGUAGCAAACGGG
rnacentral:rRNA from 1 species